AUGUUUCCUGUAGCUGUGCUGCUGCUGUUGGCAGCUGGAUCAUAUGUGAAGUGUGACACUUUGACGCAGCCAGCCUCUGUGACUGUGCAGCCAGGUCAACCUCUGACCAUCAGCUGCCAGGUCUCUUAUUCUCUCAGCAGCUACGCUACACAUUGGAUCAGACAGCCUGCAGGAAAAGGACUGGAGUGGAUCGGUUGGAAAAGUACAAGCUAUACAUACUAUAAAGAUUCACUGAAGAACAAGUUCAGUAUCGAAUUAGCCACCUCCAGCAAAACGGUGACUCUAAAGGGACAGAACAUGCAGCCUGGAGACACUGCUGUGUAUUACUGUGCCAGAGACUCACAAUGA